UACGGAGGGGGCAAGCGUUAUUCGGAAUCAUUGGGCGUAAAGGGCGCGUAGGCGGCUUGGCAAGUCAAAGGUGAAAUCCCUCGGCCUAACCGAGGAACUGCCUUUGAUACUGCUUGGCUUGAGGCCGGGAGAGGGUAGCGGAAUUCCCAGUGUAGCGGUGAAAUGCGUAGAUAUUGGGAGGAACACCAGUGGCGAAGGCGGCUCUCUGGGACGGUACUGACGCUGAGACGCGAAAGCGUGGGGAGCGAACAGG
rnacentral:rRNA from 1 species